rnacentral:rRNA from 2 species
GACGAACGCUGGCGGCGUGCCUAACACAUGCAAGUCGAGCGGUUCAAGCAGCAAUGUUUGGAUAGCGGCGGACGGGUGAGUAACGCGUGGGUAACCUGCCUUAUACAGGGGGAUAACACAGGGAAACUUGUGCUAAUACCGCAUAACAUCAGACCAUCACAUGGUGGACUGAUCAAAAGAGUUAAAUCUGGUAUAAGAUGGACCCGCGUCCGAUUAGCUAGUUGGUGGUGUAAUGGACCACCAAGGCGACGAUCGGUAGCCGAACUGAGAGGUUGAUCGGCCACAUUGGGACUGAGACACGGCCCAGACUCCUACGGGAGGCAGCAGUGGGGAAUAUUGCGCAAUGGGGGAAACCCUGACGCAGCAACGCCGCGUGAAGGAUGAAGGUUUUCGGAUUGUAAACUUCUUUAGUCGGGGACGAAGAAA